GACGAACGCUGGCGGCGCGCUUAACACAUGCAAGUCGAACGGAAAGGCCUGCUUUCCCUUGUGGAUUGCGGGUACUCGAGUGGCGAACGGGUGAGUAACACGUGAGUGAUCUGCCCCCAACUUGGUUAUAAGCCUGGGAAACUGGGUCUAAUUCCCGAUAGGACUGCAGGGUGGUGCCUGUGGUGGAAAACGAUUUUCUAGUGGUUGGGGAUGAGCUCGCGGCCUAUCAGCUUGUUGGUGGGGUAAUGGACUACCAAGGCGGGGACGGGUAGCCGGACGGGGAGGGUGGACGCGGAAAUUGAGACUGGGAUCAGGCCCCGACGGCAGCGGGCGGCAGCGGAGGGGACUCUUGGAGAAUGGGCGGAAGCCUGAUGCGGCGAGGGCGGGUGGAAGGUGACGGCAUUCGGGUUGUAAGCUACUAUCGAACGCGAGGAAGCCACCUGGUUGGGAGGGUGGUGACGGUAGUGGUAGAAGAAGCCCCGGCUAACUACGUG
rnacentral:rRNA from 1 species